AGAGUUUGAUCCUGGCUCAGGACGAACGCUGGCGGCGCGCUUAACACAUGCAAGUCGAGCGAUGAAACUUUAACAGAACCCUUCGGGGCGAAGAUAAAGUGGAUUAGCGGCGGACGGGUGAGUAACACGUGAGUAACCUGCCUUAGACAUUGGGAUAGCCUCGGGAAACCGGGAUUAAUACCAAAUAAAAUCAUAAUGACACAUGUCAUAACGAUCAAAACUCCGGUGGUCUAAGAUGGACUCGCGUCCCAUUAGCUAGUUGGUAGAGUAAAAGCCUACCAAGGCGACGAUGGGUAGCCGGCCUGAGAGGGUGAACGGCCACAUUGGAACUGAGAAACGGUCCAAACUCCUACGGGAGGCAGCAGUGGGGAAUAUUGCACAAUGGAGGGAACUCUGAUGCAGCGACGCCGCGUGAACGAAGAAGGCUUUCGAGUCGUAAAGUUCUUUUAUAUGGGAAGAUAAUGACGGUACCAUAAGAAAAAGCCCCGGCUAACUACGUGCCAGCAGCCGCGGUAAUACGUAGGGGGCUAGCGUUGUCCGGAAUCACUGGGCGUAAAGGGUUCGCAGGCGGAAAUGCAAGUCAGAUGUAAAAGGCAGUAGCUUAACUACUGUAAGCAUUUGAAACUGCAUAUCUUGAGAAGAGUAGAGGUAAGUGGAAUUUUUAGUGUAGCGGUGAAAUGCGUAGAUAUUAAAAAGAAUACCGGUGGCGAAGGCGACUUACUGGGCUCAUUCUGACGCUGAGGAACGAAAGCGUGGGUAGCAAACAGGAUUAGAUACCCUGGUAGUCCACGCUGUAAACGAUGAGUGCUAGGUGUCGGCGAAUGUCGGUGCCGCAGUUAACACAAUAAGCACUCCGCCUGGGGAGUACGUGCGCAAGCAUGAACUUAAGGAAUUGACGG
rnacentral:rRNA from 1 species